AUGGCAUGCCUGUCUUUCUCAAGCACACCCGUGUUGCCUCUGUACUUCCUAGGUGGUGUGGGCAUGGAAGGAAGGCCAGUGGAGACAAUGGAUGAUCUUGCUCUUAGAAGAUCACUGGAGGUGGCAGGGAGUCCUAGGACACGUGUGGCGUGGGCCUCUUCAGGUGCUGGUGCUGUUGGCAUGAAAGGAAAGGAGGUAUCUUCGAGGGACAAUCUUCGCCUUGUGCGAUCCUCGGAGAUGCCACGAGGACUCUGGACACAUGUGGUGCGGGCUCCUUUGGAGGCUGUUGACUCCCUUCUGAAUGUAGCACUGGCAUGGAAGGCAGGCCCGUGUUGGCGAGGGACAAUUGUUAUCUCAUGUGAGCCGCGGAGAUACCAGGAAGCCCCUGGACACAAUGGCAAAGACUCCCUCGGAAGUUGUUGGAUCCCUUCUGAAUGUGGCGUUGGCAUAAAAGGCGAGCUUGUAUCAUGA
ensembl:lncRNA